AUUCAAUAACAUAUUUUAAUUUUUCAGUGUUUUUAGUAUAAAAAUCCCACCGGCCGGCUGUCGGCUGGUCUCCGCUCCCGUUGGCUAUAACUGUGGUUUUUCCCAGAGAAUCAUCUAAAAGUACCAAAAAUCUAUUUACACACAACAUCCACAUCCAGAGGGAGGGGGGGGCUGAAGAGAACAGGAACAGGAAGUCUACCCGCUGCUACCCUGCCAAAAACAAAACAUCACAACACUAUCACACCUCACCGCUCAGAUUUAAUGCUAUUAAUCCAAAAACAAUAAAAACAAUAAAAGAUAACCCAGCUGAGAAGAGGAGAGGCCUCUAACGUGUGUGUGGCUCUACUGCGCCUCCAUAGUAUCUCUCUCUAUAAAGUAAUGCAUAAACAUUUUCUGCUUUACAAUAAAUUAGUACAGGCACGUCCUCUCCUGCAGCUCAAUGUAAAAAGAGACUGUGACGUUUUACUGAAGACACACACACACACACACACACACACACACACGCACACACACGCACACACACACACAGAAAGAAAGGCUGAAGAACACAACUGUAAAAAAACAAAAAACAAAAUAAAACCUUAGUGGGAAACUUUGUGGGCAGCAGAUUUUUUUGGUUUUGGUGUGAAUGAUGCACUUCAGGUAUUUUUAAACUUUUUUUUUUGUUGUUGAGAGCAUCUAUAAUAAAGAUUUUUAUAUAAAUAUGUACAAAAAAAGAAGAAGAAGUAGUCCUGUAAAAACAUUCAGAUAAUAAAAAAAAACACACACGCACACAGAGAGAGAAAAAAAAAAAAGAAAAUUAAUGCCAAAGACGAGAGAGGAGGAACUUUGAAGCUCGAGAACUCAAUAACUUACAAAAACCGUAAAAAAAAAAAAGAAA